rnacentral:rRNA from 1 species
UGGCGGACGGGUGAGUAAUGUCUGGGAAACUGCCUGAUGGAGGGGGAGUAACUACUGGAAACGGUAGCUAAUACCGCAUAACGUCGCAAGACCAAAGAGGGGGACCUUCGGGCCUCUUGCCAUCGGAUGUGCCCAGAUGGGAUUAGCUAGUAGGUGGGGUAACGGCUCACCUAGGCGACGAUCCCUAGCUGGUCUGAGAGGAUGACCAGCCACACUGGAACUGAGACACGGUCCAGACUCCUACGGGAGGCAGCAUG